UGCGUAGGCGGACAAUUAAGUCAGAUGUGAAAUCCCAGGGCUCAACCUUGGGGCUGCAUUUGAUACUGGUUGUCUAGAGUGCAGGAGAGGAGAGCGGAAUUCCUAGUGUAGCGGUGAAAUGCGUAGAUAUUAGGAAGAACACCAGUGGCGAAGGCGGCUCUCUGGACUGUAACUGACGCUGAGGCACGAAAGCGUGGGGAGCGAACA
rnacentral:rRNA from 1 species